rnacentral:lncRNA from 1 species
AAAGUUUGCUAGGAGCCUCUGGGAAGGGUUGCUUGACUUUUACAAAGAGACAUUCAUGAGACAUUGACCCUGUUCUUUCUCUUCAGGUGGCUGGAUCAGAGAGUGAUGUCAGGACUUCUGCAGCCAUCUUGUGUCCGUCAGGAGAGCCAGAACAGGGACAAAGUGGACAUGCAGGAGAGGAUGCAGAGGAUCGGAUCCAGACCCCUGGAGGCAUCCCAUCAGGGCACCCUUCCCCCGAGUUUCCCACGAGGAUGGGGCCAGUUGUCGCUGCCACACCUUUUUUCUCCACACUGGAGCAGGCUAGCAGAUCCAGUUUGCUCUUGCAAAUGGUGAUGAAGGUAAGUGAUGGGUCUUUGCAAUGACAUCUAGAUACUGUCUUACUUAAUCCUCACAACAACUCUUACAGUGGUGGCACCAUACCCACUUU